AACGUCUUUCUCCUGUUUCAGGACGGUGCAUUUCGUUACUAAAGUUCAUAACAGGUCCUUCAAAUAUGGAAAAAAAGCUAAAUGUGAAGUUGAAGGUUAUCUGCACAACAUCUCUGAAAUAUGCCAAUCAAGAGAUGAUCAGCAGUAUUUCACUGGAUUAUUACAAGAGGCUGAAAAGAACAGCCGUGUAGUAAUCUUUAAAACACGCCAGCACAUUUUUGUGAAUGCAGAAAAAGACAGAACUCCAGUCAAAUUAUGUAACAUCAGCUUUUCACGAUCUCGACAAAUUA